CCUCGGCACAAUCUGACACAAGACGUAAACAUCUGGGUCCAUCGUCAGCCCCGACGGCACCCGACAGUACGGAACAGUUCAAACUCUACUGCAAACUGAGCUUGGCCCCUCAGCACGAGCGUAAACUCAACCUACACUAAUCUGAGUAUCCACAACGCACUAACAGCGGUAAUACAGAAGGACAACAGUUUCUGAAGCUAAAUCUGUUAAUAUUUCGAAAGUAACAGUGUAAGUUUAAUUUAUUUUCUCCUAAGUCAAAUCCCAGUCCAGUAUAUAAAAUUCAUCUAAAACCAUUAGACUAUUCUCCAAAUUCAGAUUUCAUAAAAUAUGCAAAUCUAA
rnacentral:lncRNA from 1 species